GUGCUCUCUACGGCAGCACCUAUUCUAAAAUUGGAACACUACAAAGAAGAUUAGCAUGGCCCCUACGCAAGGAUGACAAAAAAAAAUGAUAAAUGCAUGUUU